rnacentral:lncRNA from 11 species
ACUGAAGUCAAAGUUAAACAUAGUUAUAAAUCUUUGUACUGUUGGAAACAUUACAGCGCACCUGCUACAGUAUAUCAAGUACUUAACUGUAUGCAUGGUUUCGGUGACUCUACUAGAGCCAGAAAGUGUCUUUGCUGGAAGAUCUCUUCCCAGGAGUCUUGGAAUUCAUUCUUAUUCUUCAUCGUCAGGGGGGAUUCCCAGCUCUUCAUCUGCCCACUUAGAAGGAUCUGGAUAAGGAAAGUGGCCCAGCACAACAUCAGGAUCAUGCCAGAAUUUCCACAGGAUCCAGAACCACAUUAGAGCCACGGGUUCCUUAACAUGACUUUAUUGAGCUCACAAUACGUUGUGUUCCAAGACAUAGAAUAGCCGUCAUGUUCACCAGUGCAAUGCUUAUGUCAAUAUUCAAGUUGUAAAAAGAACAGACAUGGUUUUUGAAUUAUCUCCUUGUGAAGAAUAGUCAGUAUAGUGCAGAAAUUGACUCUUAAGAGUGCAUGGAAUAGAGAUCAUGAUGAAAAUGAUUAUUUAUGACUUACAUGAGGUCAUUGCUCUCCAUCGUACAGGCUUCUGAGGAAGCAGUUAUGCAAGAAGCUCAUUUAGAGAAAUCAAGAUAGAUUGCAUUUCAUUCCGUGUCAUGUCCUUUGUGGUUGAUGGCCACAAUGCACAGGGACAGUCAUUAUUCCUGCUUACCCAGAAGCACCAUGGCAGCUCUGCUAAAGAAAACAGAUAUUUGUACAUAAUAACUUGUCCCCGACUCAUGUAGCUUCUAAUGGAGGAGAGGGUGGAAGGGCGAAGUAUACAGAUGGAGUAGGUACAUGAUAGGAUGCUUCUGAGCUAAUGAGGCACGCUCAUCAUAAUUUGCAAAUGACAGUUUACUCUCCAGUUCUUGGUAUUUAACUUAGAAAUCAUUGACUGGCUCUCAUUUUGCAGGAGGGAAUCAAAUUAUUGUUGUUAUUAGUCAUUAGGCAUUAUUAUGUGCUUAUUAGGUAUUAGUAUAGUGUUGUAGGAAUGUAAAUGCUAAUAGAGUCCAGUCGUGCAACAACUGUGUAUUUCAUGUCUGUUUACUGAUCAUUACUUUCUAGCUUUCACUUACUGGAUCAUUACAGUAUAUAUAUCAUUAUACUGUAGUUAUUUUGAAUAAAAAGCAGUCUUUGUGAAGGAAUUAAAUUAAAUGACCUUGGAAUUGUUUUGUUCAUAAGCUGAGUCAAAUUUCCCUAGUGGGAAAUCAUGACAAACGCUGGCCAGCGCUGCUCUCCAAUUUGGGAAUUCUAUUUCCAGAGAGGAGAGAGCUAUAGAAGGGUCUUACAUGUUAGCAUAUGUGACAUAUGAACAGGAGCCAUGUCUAUUUAAGAUUAAAGUUUUAAUACAUUUUUAUGUUAUUAAUGUAAAAGAUUUUAACAUCAAAAUUGUGUAUUUUUUAUUUUUUAAUUCUUAUAUUUUUAUACAUUUGCAUAUGGGCUAAGGGGAGCAUCUUUGGGGACAUGCCUUGAGUCACGUAGGCAUCUAGAAUUUGAGUAUAUAAAGGAGGAAUUUCUUUGUCCUCUCUCUGGAAGCACACACGAGGCUUUUACACAAUCUUCUACCAUGCUCUUUGGAGAGAGAUGUAGUUCCUGAUAAAGAUAGGCCUGCAUGAUUUAUUGCUGUAUCCUGAACUAUAUUUGGAACUAAGAUGUUUUUACCUGUAUGACCUACCUCAUACAUGCUUGUGAGUAAAUACUUUUGCUAUUUUGAUUUUGGUGUCUCUUUAAAAGGGAAAUGACUCUUUAAAAGGGAAAGGGAGACUGGUUGCUUGUUUUUACCUCUGCUCUGCUCUGCUUUUGUAUUUUUUUCUCUGCCACAUGUUAAUUUUCCAGGUAUAAGCAUGUCCAAUACCUAACAGAUAUUGGUAUUAAAUCUAAUGUUUUUGAAGAAAGGCAUUAGGAGCCAUUUGAAGAUGUAAUGUUAAAUGAAGAGAAGACAAGCCCAGACUCAAAUGUUCACUCACUCACAAAGCGCACUACACAUUACAAGGUUGAUGUGAUGAUUAACUGGAAGAAAGUCAUGCAUGGGUACUGAAGAUAUUUAGAGGAAAGUGGUUAUAUUAACAGAGGAAAUUUUAGGUGGCUAGGCUCCAAAGAACUAUGGAAAUAGUUCUGUGAGUCCAGAAAGAUGUGGAAGGAAAUAGGUGGCUUUCCUUUGGAAAACAGACGUGGUCUACUGUCAUUGUGCCGUCCGCCGGACAAUAAAAAGCUAUAAAACUGAAACGUGCUGUCCUUUAUCCGGGCGAACUGCAAAUCCCUAUAAGCUGUCCUAUAGAUAUUGAACGACUGAGUCUGGAUAACUUCAAAAAAGGAUGUUUAUUCAUACAAGGUUGUAAACCUGGCACAGAUCUUAAAGUUGCAGAAAAUGAAACAAAUUUCUAUAGGUUUUAGUCACAGAAUUAUCCCUGGUUCCAGAAGGCAAAGG